ensembl:lncRNA
GGUUCAUAAAUAAGUUGUUUUAUUUUGUUUUCCUUUUUAAAAGACUAUAGAUCGAUCAACCAUACAUAAUGACAGUUUCUUUGUUAAAUACUGUACACUCUCUUAACUCUCCCAGUGCAUGUUUUUAUACCACAGCAGAGAAUGUCAGUUAUUUCUCAAUGAAAGUACAACCAUAAUCUUCAUUUGAUGUCGUUUUUAUUCUUCUGUACUUCUCAUAAGACAUGUCAAUAUAUUAAGAUUAAAUAUAACAAAAAAAUCAGUGUAUAAUGUAAACAUGUUGAGACAUUAUAUCAAAACGUCGUCUCUAGCAAGGUAUUCUUUUCUCGUGACCAGGAGGGAGAGUAAAAUAUAAAGCAUACUUCAAUGACCGUUUGACCUUCGCGCUAAUGUGUCUUUUCUCUCUUUUUUAUACCGAACAGCGUGUUCUUCACACAGGGGUUACCUCAACGCAUGUGCUACAUUAAUUAUAUCAUCCCAAAGGUACUUCAAUCACCUAUAACAAUAAAAUUCAUGUACUUCACCUGCUGCCAGCAGCCAAAGUCUCUCCUACCACACCCACUGCAAUCAUGUAAGGCAGGAAUGCAUGAGCAGAACAAGAAAGUCAGUUUGUCAUGGCCUGCGCAUGCACUUUGUGCGCGCGCACUAUGUGCGCGCGCGCGCGUGCGUGCGUGCGUGUGUGUGUGCGUGUCAUGCGUGCUAUCAGGUGAGCCGAACUUCCUUUGUUGUGAAGGAUCGGCGAUUUUAAGGAUUGUUCAAAAAAUAUGAAGUGGUUUGAACUGUGUGUGUAGUUUAAGGGGGUUUUCUCAUCUAUUGUGUGUGAAAUUGAACAAGUAAUAAAUGUGGAGCAUAGUGAGGAAUAUAAUGAAGGGGGACAACAUGUUCACCACCCUAUCUUGUAUGCAUAUGUCAUUAAGAGUGUAAAGCAAAGUAAAUAGCGGCUAUUGUCAGAGCGUUUUUCUGAAGGGUCAUCGAGGGAGGUAGUACUUGAGGCAAAUUAUUUCCAAGCAAAUGACUCACAGCUUUACCAAGAAUUAACUCCUGUGCAAAAAGACCUGACCUGGACACCGACGACGAGCGAGUAAUAAUACAAGUGUGCACUUGAGGAAGUUGUACUUAAAGAGCAGGUGAUGCAAAACAGGCAGAGCACGGUAACAAAUAUUGUUAACUAUUUUUCUACAAAAUGUAGAAAGUCAAUCUAUAUACAUCUAUAUAUAUAUAGAUAUAUAUAUAUAUAUAGAUAUAUAUAAACAAAAAAUUACCAGAAGCACUGGUCCUACACUACACACACACACAUACGCAAACACAUAC